GACGAACGCUGGCGGCGUGCUCAACACAUGCAAGUCGAACGGUAAGGCCCUUCGGGGUACACGAGUGGCGAACGGGUGAGUAACACGUGGGUGAUCUGCCCUGCACUUCGGGAUAAGCCUGGGAAACUGGGUCUAAUACCGGAUAGGACUCCGGACUGCAUGGUCUGGGGUGGAAAGCUUUUGCGGUGUGGGAUGGGCCCGCGGCCUAUCAGCUUGUUGGUGGGAUGAUGGCCUACCAAGGCGACGACGGGUAGCCGGCCUGGGAGGGUGACCGGCCACACUGGGACUGAGAUACGGCCCAGACUCCUACGGGAGGCAGCAGUGGGGAAUAUUGCACAAUGGGCGCAAGCCUGAUGCAGCGACGCCGCGUGAGGGAUGACGGCCUUCGGGUUGUAAACCUCUUUCAGCAUCGACGAAGCGAAAGUGACGGUAGGUGCAGAAGAAGGACCGGCCAACUACGUGCCAGCCGCCGCCGUAA
rnacentral:rRNA from 1 species